UACAGAGGUGGCAAGCGUUGUUCGGAAUUACUGGGCGUAAAGGGCGCGUAGGUGGCCUUCUUAGUCAGACGUGAAAUCCCCGGGCUUAACUCGGGAACUGCGUCUGAUACUGGAAGGCUGGAGUUCGGUAGGGGAGACUGGAAUUCCUGGUGUAGCGGUGAAAUGCGCAGAUAUCAGGAGGAACACCGAUGGCGAAGGCAGGUCUCUGGGCCGAUACUGACGCUGAGGAGCGAAAGCGUGGGGAGCGAACAGG
rnacentral:rRNA from 1 species